GAUGAACGCUGGCGGCGUGCCUAAUACAUGCAAGUCGAGCGAACAGAUGAGGAGCUUGCUCCUCUGACGUUAGCGGCGGACGGGUGAGUAACACGUGGAUAACCUACCUAUAAGACUGGGAUAACUUCGGGAAACCGGAGCUAAUACCGGAUAAUAUAUUGAACCGCAUGGUUCAAUAGUGAAAGACGGUUUUGCUGUCACUUAUAGAUGGAUCCGCGCCGCAUUAGCUAGUUGGUAAGGUAACGGCUUACCAAGGCAACGAUGCGUAGACGACCUGAGAGGGGGAUCGGCGACACUGGAACUGAGACACGGUCCAGACUCCUACGGGAGGCAGCAGUAGGGAAUCUUCCGCAAUGGGCGAAAGCCUGACGGAGCAACGCCGCGUGAGUGAUGAAGGUCUUCGGAUCGUAAAAAUCUGUUAUUAGGGAAGAACAAAUGUGUAAGUAACUAUGCACGUCUUGACGGUACCUAAUAAGAAAGCCACGGCUAACUACGUG
rnacentral:rRNA from 1 species